GACGAACGCUGGCGGCGUGCCUAAUACAUGCCAGUAGAACGCACAGUUUAUACCGUAGCUUGCUACACCAUAGACUGUGAGUUGCGAACGGGUGAGUAACGCGUAGGUAACCUGCCUGGUAGCGGGGGAUAACUAUUGGAAACGAUAGCUAAUACCGCAUAAUAUUGAUUAUUGCAUGAUAAUUGAUUGAAAGAUGCUAUUGCAUCACUACCAGAUGGACCUGCGUUGUAUUAGCUAGUAGGUGAGGUAACGGCUCACCUAGGCGACGAUACAUAGCCGACCUGAGAGGGUGAUCGGCCACACUGGGACUGAGAUACGGCCCAGACUCCUACGGGAGGCAGCAGUAGGGAAUCUUCGGCAAUGGACGAAAGUCUGACCGAGCAACGCCGCGUGAGUGAAGAAGGUUUUCGGAUCGUAAAGCUCUGUUGUAAGAGAAGAACGGGUGUGAGAGUGGAAAGUUCACACUGUGACGGUAUCUUACCAGAAAGGGACGGCUAACUACGUG
rnacentral:rRNA from 1 species